AGGUCAUUACGAAGACAGGUGGUGUUCAACAAGCAGAUAGGCCAAAUGAAGGAUUCUACAUUGGGUCUGGUAUCACUGUUAUAGUGAAGAAUGCAACCAUUGCAAAUGGCACAAUCAUUUAAAGUCUUCAACAUCCACGUGCAUUUUCUCAUUGAAGAUGAAUUUGGAGUGGAAGAAUGGAGCUGUUGGAGGAAGCUAGGAGGUUAUCAGCUUUAUGACACUUUGGAAUAAGAUGGAUACUGCACCACUCGUGUAUAUAAU